ACGUUUGAGAUAUUGCAGGUACUUUCACGCUGGGCAACAGCAGAGGACAUCAUGUUUAUAAAUAUUUACUCUUUAUUAAAAGGUGUUUCAGCAAAUGUUUGUAGCACUGUACACAGCCUGACUUCAGGGAUCCUUCUUAAAAGCAGACCCCUGCUGCAACCUGUGUUCUCUUUUGAGUACUAUAGAUGUUGUAAGAUGCAGCUAGAAUUCAGCCAAAUGGAAAGCUUUCUGGGAAGGAAUGCCAAUAUAUAAAAGAGGAGAGAAAGUGAGAAGAAUUAGACAUAAAGGCUCCAGGUUAAGAUAGAAAGUGCAGUUCUCUAUGUGGGCAGCUUCCAAAGAGGACUGAGGAGGAAAAAGGUUAUUUGAACAAGCCUGAAAAAUGGAUUUUAGUUGAAUUUUUUGCACUGGACAUCUCUGUUGGCUACGGUGAUGGAGAGACGUAAUGCAGUAAGUGCCUUCUGUUGUACCAUCCAUGACCUCAAUGGAGAGGGAGAAAAUGGACUUUUGCUGUCAGCUUCUCAUCCUGUCACAGAUUUGAGUUUUACUCCGACAUUACUUCCAGUCUAAUUGCAUUUGAACCAGCACUCUUGCUGUGCUAGUGUCAGCCAGCAUAACUGGAGGCCUAUGUAACAGCUAGUAUUUACAGAGCCUGGAGCUCUGGAUGGGUUGGACCACAGAUGCAAGAUUAGAGAAGGACACCUGGUUUGCAGAGCCUAAGAGGUUUAUAUGGUACCUUGUACUUAGCUGUUUGGUGCUACAGAGACUGAAGAGAUUGAUGAGCAACAGCAGCAGCAGAGAUUUAGGUACGCAGGAGACUCCACUGACAGGAACAUAAAGACUUGAGGCCCACUGGCAACAGGAGUUUGGAUGAAGACAGUGUUGAGUUCAGACACCUCAUGUGGUACCAUUAGAGGAAAUUGUCUUUUUGUGGAUUUUUUUUCUGCAGUAUGUACAAUUCCUCUCCAUAGCUAUUUUUAUCACUGCCAUGCAUAUGUCAUCAUAGUGCUGAUAUGAAGGCCAACCAGACAAUGGUUGUAAAACUCUCAGGGAAUUAUUAUCAUCAUCAUCACCAUCACUACUUUGUAGAAACAUAAUGCUCUUCCAAAAUAAAAUCUCUGCUUUUGGAUUUCUUAGUAUACUAGAAUGAUGGAGUGAAUUUCAGUGACUGGAAAAUAAACUGCUGUAUCUUUAACUGUAAAAGGAAAUGGUUGUGCUGUCUCCUUGCUAGUCCUCAUCAUUUAAUGGCUGUACCCAUUUUGAAUGGAAAAAGUGAUGCUGACAUAACAGACACCUACCUAAAAUCAUGAGAAAAAAAAAAAACAUAAAGCAACCCACAACAAUCAGUGAGGCAGAAAGAGCAACACAUUAAUUAUAUCAAAGAAUCACAGGCUUUUUGUAUUUACUGAAGAAUUUCCCAUGGCCUGUUGACGUAAACCUGGAGCAGCUAAGAGAGAAACCUUUUCUAUAUUAGUACUCUGCUCAACUGCUGAUAGAAAGCCUCAUGUAAUUGCUUUCCAUAUAAAAGGAAGCAGAACUCCUUUUUCAUUUGAAACAGUCAUCAACUUUGUUUAAUGUAACCUCAUUGCAAGAUUAACAUGGGCAAGAAGCCUAUAGAUUGAAUUGAGAGACUUUUGGUCAUAACCAGAUUGUCUUGUCUAAGGGGAAAGACCCAGGAACAAAGAAGCAGAAGUCUCAGCUGUGUUUCUCCUUUAUUACUCCACUUCACCUGGAAAGCUCUUGCCUCUAUUCCCUGUGAAAAGUCAUGAUCCACCCUACCUUUCACAAUAACCCUGAAAAGAUUUUCACAGUGUAUCCUGAGAGUAACUUCGUUAAAUAUGUGAGUUAACUGCAUGAAGUCUCCUCAUUGACCAGUUCCUUGUUAACUUGUACAGGGCAUAAGCAGAACAUGAGGCCUUGGAAACAACUAAAUAACUCUGCUAAAUAUAACUGUUGAUAAUUAGAAAACAUCUUAUCUUAAUGUUGAAAUUGUCCACAUAUAAACGAAACUGACUAUAGACUAGAGGAAGAUAUUAACUGAGUGAACUGGCUCUUCAGCUUCACACAUUUCUUGGCAUACAUAGUAAUACUGAGAAAAAAGUCAAGACAGAGUAGAAGAAAAUACAGUGUUUCGCUUAUGGUCAGAUACUCAUCUCAAUUGCCCUGGCCGUAUAUAAACUUCAUAUUAAUUCUUGGGUGAAGUGGUGGGUUGAAUGUCUUGCACAAAACCACAGUUAUUGCUUGUUCUGGAUAGAAGUUUAUAGCUACGUUGUCUGAAAGAAAAAAACAACCUACAAACAUGAUUAUUUUCCUACAGUGCAGAGAAUGCAGAGAAUAUUUUUUUCUUGUUUCCAUACACAUUAGAUGCCCCCACCUCCUAGGUGUUUUUUGUAAAGAAUGUCUUUAGUUUGCAAAUUGCACUUCAAAGGUAUGGUAGCAAGAAUACAGAUUUUACUCUUCAUUAUGUCUUAAACACCUUUGAAUGUAAGGAAAAAAUAUACCUGGACAGAAGGUAAUUCCAGGGCUGAAAAAGGACGAAUAGUUACUCUCAUUACUUUUAUUUAUUUAUUUUUUAAUUGUAAUCAUCUUGGGUAAAAUAAUGCUGACUGAGUUAUUUCAGUAGUGGCAAAAUGCCUAAUUUAUUAAAAUACUUAUCUCAGAAAUAAACGUUUAUAUUCUACUCUACAUUGAAUUCUCUUUCUAAAUGAAAAUUUCAGAACAGAAAUCAUAUAAAAACAUGAGGGUUUUUUACAGGUUGAAAGAAAAAUAAAAAGCAAAAAAAGUGUAAGAUUUAAAUUUGUAGACCUAAAUUCUAUGAAGAGAUUGAGUCUUGGUCAAGCCACAUUUUCCAGUGUGGAAAAUUUGGCUAUGUGUGUCCAAUUGACUGUGUUUCCAGCAAGUGUAAGUGCACAGGAGGCAGAAACAACCAUGCCAUUUUGAAGGCUGCUUUUAUGAACAUUUCUGUCCACAUAUGAGGAACAGUCAGCAGAAGGCCAAAGCCAAAAUAAGCCAGCUGAAUGCCUGGGUCUGUCCUACCUAAUGACCACCCUUUUCAUUUCUGCUGGAGUGGAAGUACUGUAGUUUCCAUUAUGCAUUUGUUUCCUUUAUAUUGUUUUCCUCCAAAGCUGUAAAAAAAAUUGCAUCAUCAGAAUACUUUUUUCUUAAGUAAUCACAUGAUGCCCUAAGAAUAAAUAAAAUUUGUUAUAACUGUUUAGCAUUUUCUUUUGAGAUUUUUCUGUGUAGUAGAAAAGAAAUCACUAGUAGCUAAAGAAAUCAGUUUGAAAUCUGACACACAAGGCUGGCAUAUUUUCAAUGUUUUAUUUGCUAUUUCUUUGCAGUAAUAUUUAGCUGCUGAUGAUGGCUUUGCACUGUUCUGAGCUUUGGAUGUGCAGAAAUGGUUCCAAAUAAUAUGUCUCAGAGAUAUGAAGGCAGAAAGGCUUUUUAAAGGGAACUUCACGGUUGUUUUUUUUUUUUCACUGUGAAAUUUCAUGUAGGAGUGUUGCUUUUUUUAAGUUCUCUAGCAUGUGAUGGGGACUGGUAGAGCAGCAGAUACAAACUUCAGCAUAUUCUGGGAGCUGACAAAAAUAUUUAAUUAGAUGUGUAUUUUUUGCAGAUAAAUAUUUAGCCUAUGAUUAAUGUGUCGAUCUCACAAAAUACUUUGACCUUUAAUAAACAAACAAACAAACAAACAAACACCGAAACCAGAAAAUUUAAAUCCGGCAAAGCUGAUUAAAUCCAGAAACAUUAACAUAGUCAUCGUGUCUUCUGCUCCAUUUUUCUUUGCUGUCUGGCUGCUAAAGUCACCAUAUCUCCUGGUUGUCCCUGUGACUAGAGUGUUUGGCAGUUUUUCAGCAGAAUGAGAGAUGAGAACAUGUUGGUCGAUCUUCCUGGGAGGACGGAGGGAAUAGAGAGCACUUGUGGUAUAAUUGCUGCAAGGCAUUUGCCUUGCAACACAAACUUCCAACUCUGAACGUGGCAGGAAAGGUUCCAGCCCGUGGUUUUCAUAUGUCAGGGAAAGAAAAUGUGCAGACUAAUUGACAAGCAGGUAAAUCAGAAUAACAGGCUGUAAUACUGGUGUAUUUUUUUCUGCACUGACAAAGGUUAUUCAACUUACAUCACAUUUGCCUAGCCUACCUAUAAAUAAAACUAUGCUUAUGUCUGUAAUAAUUUUUUAUAAAUGCUGAGCUCUUAGUGGCAAAUACAUGAGUUUUUAGGAAACAGCAUUGCUGUGCAAAAUGUCACCUGUGAAGGAAAGAAACAAACCCAAGGAGCCAAAGAAAGAACAGGAAGACCUGUAUGCAAAUUGUACUUGUACAUGUGCCUGCACAAACAUAUACUUGUAUGUGUAUCUUCAUUCCAGAUAUUGCACAAUAUAUAUGUAGACUCAAUCUGAGGAGUUAUUCUUUCCAGGCUGCUAAUUAUAUAGAGACCAGUAGGCAGCUCUCACAGGGUGAGUAGUUUCAUCCUAAAGCAGAAGUCUAAGAUAACCUGAUAAAUUCCGCAUUCCUCUCUCUCUCUUCCCAGUAAUUUCUAGCUUUCUCUUCUACAACCUGUAAGAGUUUUAUUAUCUUUCUGAUUAGUUUAGGGAAAGCAGACCCCAGAGCUGCCAUGUUCCAUACCAAUGGAGCUCAGAAGGAAUAUCUCAGGGAUGCGACUCCUUUUCACAAUGUAGACUAGGACAAAGCCAUAUUAAGCUUUGUGGAAUACACUUUAAUAUAUACAGCCUUUUUGCAGAAAAUUUUCUCCUACUGUUCCUAAAAAUCAAACUGAAUGAACUGCCUAAUGGGAACACUGCAAAAUCUGGAUUUUUUUUUUUAAUAUUUAAAUAUUUUGCUCUUAUCAAACUGUUUUCUUGCAGCCUUUAAGAUGAUCAACUGAGAGCCAUUUUCCAAACCAGAAACUAACUUAGAAAUAUCCAGAACAUAAGCCUGUUUUAUUUUCUGAGUGUUUAGAGGUGACAUGACAGUCUCCAGUAAUCCACCAGAUAACAUUACAUAUACUGUUGGAGAAGCACUCAGAUAAUGCAGGAGCUGAUCUGAAACAGUCCCAAAUUAGAUUCAACUCAAUUUAAAAUUUUAGCAGAAUUCAGUUUAUUUCAAGCAACUUUUUCAUUAAUAUGUUUGUCUGCAUUUUCAUUUCCCAGUCGUGAACAGAGGUUGAAGUCCAGAAAAGCUAUUAUUUUGAUUGCUGAGAGAGAUCUCAAAAAGGACAUGAGAAAAUUUGUUCUCUUAAAAAUUUCAACACUCUGAACAGAUUCAUGUAGUUUUCAAGACGGGUGCUUAUCCUAAUCUAGCUAGACAACUGGAGAUUUGCUUUGAGUUGAAAAUUAUUUGCUUUAAGUCUUAAAAUCUGUACCUGACAAAGUUUCGAGCAGUAGUUUUUUUUUCCUCUGUUGGACCAAUAAUUUAUGAUACUUUUUUUUUGUUUGCUAUGUGUCCCCCUAAAAUCGAUCCACACUGGGAUUUUUUUGCAUACUACUAAUUUUUCAGCAUAUAUUGCCUCAAUGAGAGCAAUACUUGUACACAGUGUGUUGCAGUUGCAUGAUGCAUAUUCUACCCUUGCUCUGUGUAUGUAACUGCUGCUGUUGCCAAGUAUUGCUCACUGAACUUGAGGGGAAGAAGCCACCUACAGAGCUCAGGUCAGGAGAAUUAUUACCUGCCAAAAGUUUAAGGCCUUCAUUUCCAGAAGCGACUUUUAAUUUCUGAUUGCAGUUCCAGUGAAUGUCACAGGUAUAAGCAAUAAGUAGUAAAAGUAGUGUGCCUUCAUGUGUAGUAAGUGAGAAAUUGUCUCCUUUUCAGUAAGGACAGUGUUCAGCUGGUGCCAGUAUUUCUAGUCUACAUCUGUGUUAAUAAAUUCAAAGUGCUAUGGCCCAGCCUUUAUGCUGUCUAACUACUAGCACCAUUUUGGCCUAAGACAACUGGUACUCUCCCAGGGAUAUCCCAGAGAGAGCUCAGAAGUUAGUACAGAGCAUGGACUAUUCCUAGCAAAUAAUCUGGAUGUGUCCACCUUGUCUUGGAAGGUGGUAGUCUUUAAAAGCAUGGACUUGGGCCAGCGUUCACAUAACCAAAUCCAGAGAAUGGUCUCCAAUACAAUGUCCUUUAGUGGAGUAGAUGCUGCUUUAAACUUUAUAUUGCCUGUGGUUAUACAAAGGAGUUAAUAAUGAUGAAGCAAAAUAGAAUACUGAACCUAAAUUAAGGUACCUUUGAGACUAUAAGUUUUUGGUGACAAAAAUGGAGACAGGGAUUGUUACCUUGAAUUCUUACUUUCCAUUCCUCUCUUGCUAUAAUUAGAAACAGAAGAAGACUUGCAAAUCACAAUACUUAACCCACAAUGAGGUCUCUGAUGGGUUCUGGUUUAAUCAUACAAGAGCCUUUUGGCAAGGUUCGUUUUGAAAGAAAUCAGGAAGCCAACCCAAAACCUUAUUGGGGGGUAUUUCUGCCCUUGCUAUGAUGUGGUCUCAUCAUGUCACUCAGGAAUGAGGCACUUGCUGUUACAUUAAACACAAAAAUAACACAGGAAAUUGAUUUAUGUUGGCACAGUUUUCCUAUUUUAAAUUAUGUACCUGAAACCCAAACCAGAACUGUAGUGAAAAUACAGUUCAGAGCUCAGAUUUCGUGGGCUCACAUGUCAGAGAACUUGGCAUUUGUUCCAGAUGGUCCAUCUGCCUUUGAUUACUAUUUUCUGGUGAAUAAAAUGAAGAGGGUACAUACAUUCAUUGCUACAUUGGAAGAAGAUAAAAUAAUGCCAAGGGGUUUAUAAAACAAAUAAUGAAAGUCGCCACAGAGGGAGAACAAAUAUUAGAAGAAAAGUACAUCUCCUUUCAGAACAGAUCCUUAAAAACCCCCUUUAUCUACUGAUGCUUGUGUUGGUAUUUGGAACCAUGAGAAAGAAUGCAUGGAGACACCCCUCACGUUGGUAAGAGAUUCUACCCACUGUGUAGCCAGUGCAAUCAUUUGCAAAUACGGACUGAAGUGAAAAACAUUUUUCAGUUUUUGAGAAUGUCCUUUAUCUGAAGUAAUAUAAAAAUACCCUGUAGCAAAAAGGCAACUGAAAGUCAGAGGGCAUCUUACCUAUGAGGGUGUCAAGAUAUAAUUUUCUAAUGAGUGUCUGCCAAACCAUAGUGUAUCAGUGGAAGUGUUUUUGAGAUAGGAAGAAUUUGGUUAACUUUCUGAUUAUCAUUAGUUUUUUUCCCUCAUACUUUUGCACUUUGGGCUGUAGCCAGAACCUGAAAAGGAAAUACCUCUGUACCCUGAGAGCAACUACUUGUGAAGAAUUCCUGGCUUGACCUUAAACAGGAAUUGUCUGGAAUUACAGGAAAGACUUUUUACAAGAUUUCCCUCCUAGCUUUGCAAAUUCAAGCCAUUCAGAGGGUUCGGGUGCUUAUCAGUAGCUCUGGGAAGCAUUUAAGGCUUGCCCAGUUUAUAGCUAAUAGGGAGAGGUCCUUGCAAACAGCAAAGAAUAGUGCCAUUUUCUCUGAAAGUUAUUCGUUUCCUGACUAUGGGCCAGGUUGGAACAGUAUAGAGACAACAGUAAAAACUGUGUAUGUGCAGAAUAUUUUAAUUUUCAACCUUGAUAUGUUUAGCAUGAUCAUUUAGUGCUACUGUAGCCAUGGAAAAGGACUAAGGAAGGUAAAUGUGUGCAUUUUAUUCCAUUAAUAUUAGCUCUUUAAAUCUCUAAAAAUCUCAAGCGGACCCUUCGCUGUGGUGCAUGCAGGAGGUAUUACCUCUCUGUAGCCAAACAAUCUUAAAGCAGCUCUUUGUUAUUAAAAGGUUUACUUAGCAAAGCUUUCUGAAAAAAAAACAAACAGGUAAACAUCUUUGUGAAGAAGAACUUUCCAAAUCCAUGAUUAAAACUGUUCCUGCCCUGAGCAAAUAAGAGAAAAUGUAAGAUGCUUGUGUCAGAUGCUGACACGAUUGAAAACAUUGUGUAAGUGCCAGUCAGUAAGCACUCUGACCCUAGAAGAAUCAGUGGUAUGCUGUGGUCUGUCUCCAUUGGUAACUUCAAGCCUAUUCAGAAGUUUCCGAAGCCUCUGCAUGCUCCUACGGCCAGAGCCUCCUGUUCAGUUUACCUGUAGCACUGCUCUUUGUUGCUGGAUAUGUACUACAAAUUUGUUCUGAGGAGGGCGGUAGCCAUGUGACAAGAUUGCUGGAUGAAGACUUCGGCCACUUCAUCUGAACUCCAGAGUGAGAAACUGAUAUAGGGUGUCCCAGUCAAAAUCACUUUCCCUGUUCAUUUCCAUGAGUGAAGACUUGUGAUUGCUUGGGUGUGUUUCCAACUAUUUUUCAGUAUUUCAGCAGUGUCCCAAAUUCAGCUUUUUGGGGAAUGCUUUUAUAACACAAUGACAAGAGAGAGAAGGUCUGCUCCUGAUCAGAGCUUUUCUUUACUACAAUAUAAUAGUUUUGUAUCAAUGAGAUCACUAACUCUUCUUGAUAUUUUAUGGUUGAUAACUAGUGAAGCAAACGUGUGUGUAUUAUUGUUACGCUGAAGAGCUGUUUAUUUGAAUUUCAGUAUUAUUGAAAAACUCAGAUACAGUUUAAGAUCUAAAAGCCAAACUAAAAUAUUCAAUGAUUUUUCAUCAAUUUACCAGCUUCCUAAUAGUGACUAUCUGCAGUUCCUCUUCAGAUCUAUCUGGAGGUUCUUUUUUUAUUAUGAUGAUUUUGAUUAUGAUUAUUAUUAACUAACCGCAAUAGUCGUUAUUCUUACCUACUCAGUUAAGCGUGAAGUGUGUCCACAGGAGUGUCUUUUGCUCCAGACAGCUUACAAUCCAGUUAUCUCAUGUUCUAAGGAGUCUAGCAUAAUUUAAUCAUGGAGUAAGACAGUGCUAAACAUGACUUUAUUCAAACUCAUUUAAUAUAAAAAUUGAAUCUUUAAUCUCAACACAGGAAACAAAACGUUUUUGCAUGAAAGUUAGACUAACUUAAGCUGAUUUCACCAAUUCAGUUUCACCAAUGGGUUAUACUUGUAAUGCUACAUAGGCCUAAACUGGAGGCAAUGUUGACUUUUAAAGAUUGGUCUAAAAGUUUAGGCUCCCCA